rnacentral:rRNA from 1 species
UACGAAGGGGGCUAGCGUUGCUCGGAAUUACUGGGCGUAAAGGGCGCGUAGGCGGAUGUUUAAGUCGGGGGUGAAAGCCCGGGGCUCAACCUCGGAAUUGCCUUCGAUACUGGACAUCUUGAGUACGGGAGAGGUGAGUGGAACUCCGAGUGUAGAGGUGAAAUUCGUAGAUAUUCGGAAGAACACCAGUGGCGAAGGCGACUCACUGGCCCGUUACUGACGCUGAGGCGCGAAAGCGUGGGGAGCAAACGGG